ACACCGGCAGCUCAAGUGGUGGUCAUUUUUAUUGGGCCUAAAGCGAUCGUAGCCGGCUUGAUAAGUCUCUGGUGAAAUCCCAUAGCUUAACUGUGGGAAUUGCUGGAGAUACUAUUACCCGGCUUGAGGCCGGGAGAGGUUAGGGGUACUCCCAGGGUAGGGGUGAAAUCCUAUAAUCCUGGGAGGACCACCUGUGGCGAAGGCGCCUAACUGGAACGGACCUGACGGUGAGUAACGAAAGCCAGGGGCGC
rnacentral:rRNA from 1 species